rnacentral:lncRNA from 1 species
CGUGGUAUAGUCGUAGUGGAAGCGUAGUUUGGUCGCGGUGAGAACGUGAUGGUCGUAGUGAGGUCGUAAUAACGUCGCAAUGAGAUCGUAGCGCAGUUUCUCCGAAUAUAAUCACGCUUUCGCUACGCUCUCACUACGAUGGUACAACGACCUUUGCGAUCUUACUACGAUCUUAGUGCGCUCUCACUACGCUUCUACUACGACCUGAUUUCGCCACGACCGCACCACGAUUGUUUUGAACAUGUUCAAAGUUUGCCACGCUCAUCACGAUCUUGAAGACCUCACCACGACCGUGAUACGACCUUACUGCGAUCUACACGAUCGUACUACGAUCAUUAAAAUUUGCAUUUUUUUCACAGAUCGUAGUGCGAUCGUGGCCUAGUGGGACUGGGGUAUUA